rnacentral:rRNA from 1 species
AUACGUAGGUGGCAAGCGUUGUCCGGAAUUAUUGGGCGUAAAGCGCGCGCAGGCGGUCUUUUAAGUCUGAUGUGAAAGCCCACGGCUCAACCGUGGAGGGUCAUUGGAAACUGGGAGACUUGAGUGCAGAAGAGAAGAGUGGAAUUCCAUGUGUAGCGGUGAAAUGCGUAGAGAUAUGGAGGAACACCAGUGGCGAAGGCGACUCUUUGGUCUGUAACUGACGCUGAGGCGCGAAAGCGUGGGGAGCAAACAGGAUUAGAUACCCUGGUAGUCCACGCCGUAAACGAUGAGUGCUAAGUGUUAGAGGGUUUCCGCCCUUUAGUGCUGCAGCAAACGCAUUAAGCACUCCGCCUGGGGAGUACGGCCGCAAGGCUGAA